UACGUAGGGUGCAAGCGUUGUCCGGAAUUAUUGGGCGUAAAGAGCUCGUAGGCGGUGUGUCGCGUCGGCCGUGAAAACCUGCAGCUUAACUGUGGGCUUGCGGUCGAUACGGGCAUCACUGGAGUUCGGCAGGGGAGACUGGAAUUCCUGGUGUAGCGGUGGAAUGCGCAGAUAUCAGGAGGAACACCGGUGGCGAAGGCGGGUCUCUGGGCCGAUACUGACGCUGAGGAGCGAAAGCGUGGGGAGCGAACAGG
rnacentral:rRNA from 1 species